rnacentral:rRNA from 1 species
UACGUAGGUGGCAAGCGUUGUUCGGAAUUACUGGGCGUAAAGGGCUCGUAGGCGGCCAACUAAGUCAUACGUGAAAUCCCUCAGCUUAACUGGGGAACUGCGUGUGAUACUGGAUGGCUUGGAUGUGGGAGAGGGAUGCGGAAUUCCAGGUGUAGCGGUGAAAUGCGUAGAUAUCUGGAGGAACACCGGUGGCGAAGGCGGCAUCCUGGACCAUUAUUGACGCUGAGGAGCGAAAGCCAGGGGAGCAAACGGG